UCUUGUGAUGUAUAUUCAAAAUCUUGUGAUGUAUGUUCAAUAUCUUGUGAUGUAUAUUCAAAAACUUGUGAUGUAUAUUUUAUAAUCUUGUGAUGUAUGUUCAAAAUCUUGUGAUGUAUAUUCAAUAAUCUUGUGAUGCAUGUUCGAAAUCUUGUGAUGUAUAUUCGAAAUCUUGUGAUGUAUAUUCUAUAAUCUUGUGAUGUAUGUUCGAAAUCUUGUGAUGUAUAUUCGAAAUCUUGUGAUGUAUAUUCUAUAAUCUUGUGAUGUAUGUUCGAAAUCUUGUGAUGUAUAUUCGAAAUCUUGUGAUGUAUGUUCGAUAAUCUUGUGAUGUAUAUUCGAAAUCUUGUGAUGUGUGUUCUACAAUUCAGCGAUGCGUGCAAUAUGACGCAACAGUACUUCAGUAAAGUAAGGACAAUUUUCAUUGGUUGGAAAUAACGAAAGUAGCUGAAGCGAUUGUUUACCAUGUUUACGGGAAAACUAUAUUUAUUACAGCACUAAUUACGAGAUGCACGAGUGUUGACCCUGGUGACAUGAUGGAGAUAUUUCGGCCUGCUAGGGAAAAAACUCAGUAAACGUAGAUAUAUUGACAAAAUUUGUAGACGAGCUGAUCGCCAACCAGGAGAUCAGAAUGAUCGCACCUGCUCCUGCCACUUUAAGGAUGGUAAGAAGGAGGGGGACCCUGCAUAUUUUGCAUGGAAUGAAGGAAAGGCCAUGGAUUUCUCUGAUCCUGAAUGUACAAAAAGGAGGAAAAAACUCAAAAGUGAGGAGUCCCUGUCAUCUCACAGAUGGACCAGUUGCAGAUUUUAAAAGCACCAAAAUGUCAAGAUCAAGAAAAAUUGAUAUCAGAGCACAACUACUCAGCAUCCUGCACAUUUAACUGUACUCAAGAAAUGCAGCGCCUCUCAACAGAAAUACGACAACUGGAAAAGGAAUUCUUGCCCUAAAAAUAGAGUCUAGUAAAAGGAAGCCAAUGUCAAUUCACUAUAUUAAAGACAACGAAGAGAAGAUGCUUUUGUAUACAUCCCUACAGUAUGACAGAUAUAUUCGAAAUCUUAGUCAGAUUGUUACAACGAUUUGAACUCGAUUAUUAAAUGGUUGGACUCCUUCAAUGAAAACAGAGGACCAACUGCUCAUUGUACUAAUGAAGUUAAAACUCAAUCUACGGGACACUGACUUGGCUCAUAGAUUCUGUGUCAAUCGACCAACAAUUUCGAACUUCUUUCAUACCCUUGUUCAUGCACUUCACAAGAUGCUGUCUGAUCGCGAAGUCAAUGAAUGUUUUCCAAGUCAGCUUAAAUGCAAAGGGUCUCUGCCAAAAUUUUUUGAGGAUUUUUCCUCUGCUAGAGCAUCCAUGGAUGCAAUUGAAACAACCCAGGACAUCCCAACACAUAUGGCCAAUCAGGCCAUGGCCUACAGUAUGUACAAAAGUCGCCAUACUGUUAAAGCGGUAACUUGCGUGGCUCCAAAUGGUGCACUUACAUUUUGCUCCAUGCUGUACCCAGGUUCUACUUCUGAUGUAGCUAUUGUACGUCACAGCCAAGUUUUACGAAAGUUCAAAGCUGGAGACCUUAUUUUGGCGGUCAAAGGUUUCACCAUUCAUGACCAGUUGCCCCAGGGUGUCUGCUUAAAUAUACCAGCUUUUUUAUCGACAUGAGGCCAGUUUACCAAACAAGAAGCAGCACUGUGUUACAAGAUUGCUAAAGCACGUAUUCAUGUGGAAAGAGCCAACGAGAGGAUAAAGAAUUACAAGAUUCUCUGUCACAUCCCAUCUACUUACAGACCAAUCUCAACAAAAAUAUUUCAACUCUGUUCUUGUCUUGUAAACUUGCAAGCUCCAGUUUUGAAAGAAAUUACUUAAAGAUACAUGUACUUAUUAUAAAUUUGCAUUGGUGUGUGACAGUAUGUUACACUAAACAGUAAAGAUAUUCAUACCAAAGUGCAAAGGAUAAGCAAAUUUUGAUUUGUUAUCAAUGUCAAUGGUUAUAUUUGUUAACUUUGUAGUAUGUUGUAAUACAUGUACUUCAGAAAAUGAAAAUCCCUUUUGUUA